CUUCUCUAAUGUGGCAGAAGA
rnacentral:snRNA from 1 species